rnacentral:rRNA from 1 species
CCUACGGGAGACAGCAGUGAGGAAUAUUGGUCAAUGGGCGCGAGCCUGAACCAGCCAAGUCGCGUGAGGGAGGACGGCCCUACGGGUUGUAAACCUCUUUUGCCGGGGAGCAACGGGCGCCACGAGUGGCGUCACUGAGAGUACCCGGAGAAAAAGCAUCGGCUAAGUCCGUGCCAGCAGCCGCGGUAAUACGGAGGAUGCGAGCGUUAUCCGGAUGUGUUGGGGGUAAGGGGUGCGUAGGCGGAUCGUUAAGUCAGUGGUCAAAUUGAGGGGCUCAACCCCUUCCCGCCAUGGAAACUGGCGAUCUUGAGUGGAAGAGAAGUAGGCGGAAUGCGUGGUGUAGCGGUGAAAUGCAUAGAUAUCACGCAGAACCCCGAUGGCGAAGGCAGCAUGCCGGCUUCCGACUGACGCUGAAGCACGAAAGCGUGGGGAUCGAACAGGAUUAGAUACCCUGGUAGUC